rnacentral:lncRNA from 1 species
AAAAAAUCUAAUUUAUAGCUAUGUGUAUGCCAAUAAUAGUUUAUCAAAUGUUUUAUAAGAAAAUCCUAGGCAAGACUAUAUAAAGAUUAACAGAAAAAACACAAAUCAGCAACAAUUUGUAAAUCUUCAGACUUUGUGCUUGAAAUAAUAUCUAACUCAAAUACUCUAUAUGAAAUGUGUUUUUAUGUUCUUUCAAAAUCAGGGAUGCAGAUGUGGUUGUGCUGAUGACACUUCUUCUGGUGAAAUGCUGGAUCCACAGACAGGAGAGGAAAACCUAGAACAACAAUCAGACUUUUGCAAAAUUAGGGAUUUUUCAAAAUAAUGGUUGUAUUAGAAGAACAACUGUUUCAAAAGGUUUCUCAAAAUGGUGUUUCAAAAUGUUUCUCAAAAACGGUUUAUCAAAAUGUUUCUCAAAAACGGUUUAUCAAAAUGUUUCUCAAAAACGGUUUAUCAAAAUGUUUCUCAAAAACGGUUAAUCAAAAACGGUUUAUCAAAAUGUUUCUCAAAAACGGUUAAUCAAAAACGGUUUAUCUAAAGGCUUCUCAAAAACAGUAUCAAAAUGUUUCUCAAAAAAGGUUAAUCAAAAGGUUUCUCAAAAACAGUUUAUCAAAAGGUUUCUCAAAAAUGGUGUUACAAAAGGUUUAUCAGGAGGUUUCUCAAAAAGGGUUUAUCAAAAAUGGUUUAUAAAGGUUCCUCAAAAAUGGUUUAUCAAAAUGUUUCUCAAAAAGGGUUUAAUAAAAUGUUUCUCAAAAAUGGUGUUUCAAAAGGUUUCUCAAUGGAAGCAGUUUCAUAAGAUGGUUUUUCAAUAAAGGCAAUUUCAAUAGGUUUCUGAAAGGCUUUUAUAUAGGUUUCUGAAAGGCUUUUAUAUAGGUUUCUGAAAGGCUUUUAUAUAGGUUUCUGAAAGGCUUUUAUAUAGGUUUCUGAAAGGCUUUUAUAUAGGUUUCUCAAAGGCUUUUAUAUAGGUUUCUCAAAGGCUUUUAUAUAGGUUUCUGAAGGCUUGUCAAUCAGAUAGAGCGGUAGAGAAGACAGGAAAGUCAGAGCAGCCAAAAUGUAGCUAGAGGGAUAGAGAAAAGGGGGGCAGAAGACAGAGUGGCUUUUCAAUUAGAUAGAGCGGUAGAGGAGACAGGAAAGUCAGAGCGUCCAAAAUUUAGCUAGAGGGAUAGAGAAAAGGGGGACACAAGACAGAGUGGCUUUUCAAUUAGACAGAGUGGUAGAGAAGACAGGAAAGUCAGAGCGGCCAAAAUGAUAGGGGAGAGCUGGGAGACUGGACAGGAUAC